rnacentral:lncRNA from 1 species
CCAGAUCCAACUAGCACAAUGUCAAUGAUGAAAUGGACCAGUGUCAUAUUCUGCGGGAUAUCAAGGCAAUCAAGAUCAUCUUGGACUGUAUUGUGACAGAGGGCCAGGGAGUGAACAGAGCCCUUAUAAUGUAGGACAGAUCUCAUAUAUCGCAGCAACAAAGAUGGCCCCCAGGAGUUCCAUGGACCCUUAUUUCUCAUCAUUUAGAAGGAGAAAGCAC